UCCAGGAUCAGAUUCCUUUAGCAAAUUAAGGCCCUUUUCCUCCCCUGCUGUGGUCAUAUCAAAAAUCAUUUCCCAAAACAUUUGGGAAGAAGGCUCCCAUUGGCAGCACCUGGAGUUUUUCUUCUCAUGCAAAUAAUUGAUUCAAGUGAUCAGUUUUUAUCAAGGUGUUUUAGUGGGGGAUGAAAUAAUUAAAAUUCUUUUCACUUCAGAUGGUAAUUAUUUCCCCAGCAGUAGUUCUUAGCAUUUUAAAUGACACGCAGUUGAUGCAAACACACAUCUCACCUUGUGCCUAGUUUGGCCAAUAGUCAAUAGGAUAAGAUAUUAACUGGGGCAAAAUAAGAUUAACAGAAAUCUAAACGAGAGGAGCCCUUUGCUGUUUAUACUAUACUUUCUAGAUUACUUUUAUUUGGCAUACCUAUUCCACUGGAUUUAGCAAAGAAGUUGCAAAUAUAUGAAUAUGCAGGUGAUAUUGUUCUUUUCUGUUUUAGUAAACAAAAAUAAUGUUAAUAAGAUACAUACUGUUUUUCAAUGAAAUUUGAAAUGUAAGACCAUCUGCAGGAGACACUGCCUGCUGGUUUAGACAACCGCUUUGCCUUCAAAAGGUGCUCUGUGUAGCAAUGUACUCUGCUGGCAAUCAUAAAACUAGAGAGUACAAAGUUCUUUUCUUUGGGAUAGUGAAACUCAUACACACUGAAGAAACUGUGUGGCUAUUGAAUAUCAAAGGGGUCUUAUACAUGCUCACUGUGGAGGAGGCACCCUGGAGUCACCAAGUGUUGUGUUGAACCUGGGGUCAUGUGGACCCCCACAGUCAUCAGCAGAGAAGCCCUUGUGCAUAUAUACUUCCACCCUCCUCCCAACCCUAGAUGCAACACAGAAGGUCAGAUGAAAAUGGAUCAGGGCCUCGACAAAAGCCGGGACACGAAACAGAACAAGAAAGCUCAUCCUGAAAUAUAGAAAUCCUAGAUGUCUUUGGAGGAAAUAUAUGAUAUGAAUACAGGCACAUCUCAAUUAUCAUAGCAAAGCUGUGACAAAGGAACUCCUUUCGCAACAUCUGUUUGUGCCUGCUUAGACUGCUCCUCUGUUCACUGCAUCCUGUCUAGAUGGAGGUAUUUUUUGGCAGCAUCAGCAAUGGAAGGAGGAUGAAGAAGGAUGAAGAAACACAGAUUUUCACUGUCAGGUUGGAGCAGCAUGUCUGUAGGAAACAAUCUGAUAAAGCAUGAAAAGAGAAAGAGUAGGAUUCCAGUGUUGAACCAAUGCUACUGUAGAUGUACGUACUUACAUACAACAGGAAAAGGAAACAGCUGCCACCUCCAGAAUCCUUUAUUGAGCUUAUGACUACUUCCUUAUCUUUCAAGCACCAGCAACAUUAAUUGGAUACACUGUGAAAUUACUUUGUGCUUGGCAAAUUUUCUGAAAUGUCAAGCAGCAUUGCAAAAUGAACAUAAACAUAUUGGCAUUUACAGAAGUAACAUAUUUGAAGUAUUCUUAAAAGAAUAUGCAAAAUGCUCACAUUAGUACAGAAUGUUCCAUGAAAUAACUAAUUUUCCAAUUAUUUAUUGCUGUUUAUGGCACUUCUUUAAAUAUCAACAGACAUGCAUGCAGUUUCAUUAUCAUAUUCUCCUAUGUCCUUGUAGAGCAUUUAAGAGUCAAAUACUGUUGCCUAACUCUGCCUUUGGGUCCAUUUUGCACCUUCUUUUCCACUAACUAAAAAGGGCUGAAGUAGAGGAAACAAUAAGGGUUCCUGCAGUCCUUAAAACCAGAAUGACUUUUCUGAUUGUUUCAGGCACAUGUAUUUCUCAAAGCUAUUUUUAAUAAAUGUUUUGGUCUUUUAAAAAGAGAUUAAAAAUAGUGCUAUGUUUUAUUUAUUUUUAAAAUUUGCUCAGCAGUGCCUUGAGAAUGCUGGUGGGCGGAAAGACAACAAAUACUCUUUUUUUUUCAAUAAAAGAUAAAUACCUCUCAUAUUCAUAUUUGGAUUUUUGCUUCUUGUUCUUAUUGCUCCACUUGGAAACUGAACAACUAAGGCUACUUCAGUGCUAAAUAGGAUCAGGAUCUUUGCCACACUAGAUGGAUGCUGGGGUUCAUUCUAAUCUUGUUUUAUAAUAAGACUUGUGUUUGAAAAUAAGAUUUACUGUUCUAGGUUCCCAGUUUUCCAAGGUAGUAGAGAUUAUUGCCAUGGCAACUACUGGUGGCAAAGGUAGAGAGA